rnacentral:rRNA from 1 species
UGGAACCUACGGGGGGCAGCAGUGGGGAAUAUUGGGCAAUGGGCGCAAGCCUGACCCAGCAACGCCGCGUGAAGGAAGAAGGCUUUCGGGUUGUAAACUUCUUUUCUCAGGGACGAAGCAAGUGACGGUACCUGAGGAAUAAGCCACGGCUAACUACGUGCCAGCAGCCGCGGUAAUACGUAGGUGGCAAGCGUUAUCCGGAUUUACUGGGUGUAAAGGGCGUGUAGGCGGGGACGCCAGUCAGAUGUGAAAA